rnacentral:rRNA from 1 species
CGCGUCAGAAUGUGAACUGCAGGACACAUGAACACCGACAAGUUGAACGCAUAUUGCACAUCGUACAACAGUACGAUGUACACAUUUUUGAGUGCCUAUAUUUACCCAUUUAACUAUACGCGGGCUUACCCGGGCCCCGUAUGCGGAGUGACGUUUUCCCGCCUUCAGUGUGCGAUAAAACGUUCAAGAUAGUCAAACACAGGACCGAGCACCCAGUGCGCGCGCCCCGUGGUUGAUGAGUACACCCCACUUGCUGGACCUGGUUCCACUUGCGUUGUGCUUCAUCAUCAACACCCACUUGACAAAACCAACCCACCCAUGUGGGCCUCAAAUAAUGUGUGAC